GGUUACUCUUACUACAGUUUCCACCAUUUCCCUGAAGAAGAAGAAGACGAAGACGACGACGAAGCUCUCAUCAAUCUCUACUCAUUGUGCCAUUAACCAAAUGCGUCGAAGCUUGUCUAGUUUGGGUCCUCGUAAAUGGCUCAAGUCAUCUUCCACUUAUACCAACGUCUACUGCUUCGUCACCACUCUUCCUCUCACUGCUAACCCUAACGGCUCUGCAAUUUUCCGAUAUCUCUCUUACUUCGCACCUCAACGAAGGCAACAACAAGCACCAGAUCCAGAUGAUCCAGCGAAUCUAUUGAAAGAAGACGGAGUAUCUCUCUGUUCUCAGAUGUGGCUUGAGAAUUUCAAAGAACCUGACAAAACCGCUACUAAUUUGACCUCGUAUCUUCGAAGAUUCGAGCUAUGGGUACUAGCUUAUCAGAAAGUUUGCUGUGAUGAAUUAGGUGCUUAUGUUCCUCGUAGCUCGAUUCAGAGAGCAGCUUUAGAGAAUUUGUUAGCUUUGAGAAACUCUGUUCUUGAUGAUAGGUUUAAAUGGGGAGCUCGUUUGGAUUUCUAUAUCAAAUCUCCUAGGGAUAAAACUGAUUACGAGUCUUUGUCGAAGAGGAAGAUCAAAGCGAUUUUGACUACUACGCAACCUACCCCGUUUCAGGAUAGGAUUGUUCAGGAGGUUUUGUUGAUGAUUUUGGAACCAAUUUAUGAGUCUCGGUUUUCGCAGAAGUCGUUUGCAUUUAGGCCUGGUAGAACUGCGCAUACGGUUCUGAGAGUGAUUCGGAGGAAUUUCGCGGGUUAUUUGUGGUAUGUUAAGGGUGAUUUGAGUGUUGUUUUGGAUGGAAUGAAAGUUGGGUUUGUGAUUAGUUCUUUGAUGAGAGAUGUUAGAGAUAAGAAAGUGAUUGAUUUGAUUAAAUCUGCGCUUGUUACGCCUGUUGUCACGAGUAAAGUAGAAGAUGGUGAGAAGAAGAAGACUAAGAAAAGAAAGUAUCAGAAAAAACGAGUUUUGGCUGAGGAUGAGCCGAAGCCUGAUCCUUAUUGGCUAGAGACCUUCUUUGGUUUUGCUCCUGAAGAAGCUGGGAAGUCUCCGCAGUGGGGACAUUGCGGGAUUCUUAGUCCACUUUUGGUUAAUGUAUGUUUAGAUGAGCUUGACCGUUGGAUGGAAUCAAAAGUGAAAGACUUUUACCGUCCUUCUAAAAGCGAUGUUAUAUGGAAUAGCCCAGAAGAAGGGGAUCAAGGAAACACCUCAUGGCCGGAGUUUGUUCCCACAAGCGGUCCUGACAAAACGAGGAAAAUGGAUUAUGUUAGAUAUGGAGGUCAUAUCUUGAUCGGAGUCCGUGGACCUCGAGCUGAUGCUGCAACAUUAAGGAAAGAGCUGAUUGAGUUUGUUGAUCAGAAGUAUAUGCUUAGACUCGACAAUGAGAAUCUCCCCAUUGAACAUAUAACUAAAGGUAUAAUGUUUCUUGAUCAUGUUUUGUGUCGUCGAGUUGUUUAUCCGACUCUGAGGUAUACUGCGACCGGUGGGAAGAUUAUAAGCGAAAAAGGUGUGGGAACGCUUUUAUCCGUUACAGCGAGUUUGAAACAAUGCAUCAAACAGUUUCGAAAGCUGAAUUUUAUUAAAGGAGAUCGCGAUCCGGAUCCCCAACCUUGUUUUAGAAUGUUCCACGCAACUCAAGCUCAUACGAAUAAUCAGAUGAAUAAGUUUUUGACUACGGUUGCUGAGUGGUAUCGGUUUGCAGAUAACCGGAAGAAAAUUGUCAAUUUUUGUUCUUAUAUUAUCCGUGGUUCACUUGCUAAGCUUUAUGCUGCAAAGUACAAACUCAGAUCAAGAGCGAAAGUGUAUAAGCAUGGUAGACGGAAUUUGAGUCUUCCGUUGAAGGAGAAGAAAGGUCUAUCACCAGAAUAUCAAAAUCUCCUGAAAAUGGGUCUUGCUGAAUCGGUUGAUGGACUUGUUUAUACAAGAAUGUCUCUAGUUCCAGAAACCGAUUACUCGCCUUUUCCGGGUAAUUGGAGGCCUGAGCACGAGAAGUUUUUGAUAGAAUACCUAACGCUCGAUGAACCAAAAACGCUAGAAGAGCAAAAGAGAUUUAUAAGAGAGAAAGGACUUGUUUCAACUCAGGAUUACACAUCAAUGUUGGUUUGGAACUAUAAGAGAAAUGCGAUUCCGAUGGAUCAGGUUUCAAUUCUAAAGGACCAACCUUUCUUGUUGGGAUCAUCAAGUAACCACAACCGCGACAAUGAUGAUCGGAAGAAUAAAGAAGAAGAUGAAGAUAGCGAUGAUGGGCUUCACAUUGCACGCAUAUAACUCUCUUUAUUCAAGACAUUGAAAAAGCUACGACCAUUGUUGCUUCUACAGUGAGUAAGCCGAUUACUCUUAAGAUUCGCAAUCGCCCGUUGCAUCCAUCGCAGAACUCAUAAGCAUGGUAGCGACUUUGUAAUCACGUGACUUAACGGUGUCUAAAGAUUGGUUU